CGGGGAGGCUGACGGGACAGGGGGCUCGAGGAGAGCGGGAAACUGCGCCACCUCCUCCACCCCCCUCCCUCCUCCGCCUCGGCGGCCGUGAGGAGAAAAUGGCGGCCAUUUUGUGAUAUGUGGAGGGAAUCAGACUGCCGGUACCAGCCAUGAUCUACAGAAUGUUCACCCAAGAUUUCCAUUGGAAUACAGCAGAGGUGUGCAACUCCAAUUAUUACCUACAAUGCUGAGACUGAUAGUAGAAUGCUGUAAUCUGAUAGAUAAUGGAGCAGGUUGCAGGUUGUCACUCCUUUCCACAGUAAGACUCAGGCCAACCUCACAAGACGGAAUCUCUGGCCGGAAACCUCGCAGACUGGAUUGCUGUCCCCAUAGACGGCAAUGCAUUUCGAAGCGGAUCUGCCAAAAGAAUGAAGUCGUUCGUUCUUUCUUCGGAGUCUGAAAUUUCAAUUUUAGGAGUGUGCAUGGUGCAGAGGAAUCCCAUUAACAACAAUAUGAGGCUGCUACAUCUGAUUUACUGAAGAAGGAGCACGCUUGCUCUGUAACGUGCAGGCUUUUUGGUCCUCUGUGCCUGCCAUAGUGACGUCACUAUUUUCAGGAACUAGUUUUUUUUUUGGCUUUACAUCUGCACUGGGUUGAGAUGCCGCCGGUUAUUUAUUUUUGUGUAGUAUGCUUCUGCGUCAUAUUUAUGGAGUACAUUCUGCAAAUUACAGUAUUUUGCCAAACCCCAUUCAGGUCUACUGAAAACAAUCCAUAUGGAAAGGAAAGCUUGCUGCAAAUUUUCUAAUUCUUGUGUAAAGAAGCCAUAGAUUUUCAUGAGAUUUUACCCUAACACUAAACACAAUCUUUGGAUUAGGCAAAAGUUUAUUUGCUGGUCCUGACAGAUAAUCUAAGAAUCCAUCCAUCCAUGUAACAUUCAGGCCAUAAGUUUGUAUUAUGCAUCAGGUAUGCCGACAUAUGCAGGCCCGUGCAGUUUAAUGGAGGGAAUUCAGCCUUCCAGUGGCUUCAUCUGG